rnacentral:rRNA from 1 species
UGAGGAAUAUUGCGCAAUGGGGGCAACCCUGACGCAGCAACGCCGCGUGAGUGAGGAAGGUUUUCGGAUCGUAAAGCUCUGUCGAGUGGGAAGAAAUGUAUCAUGGCUAAUAUCCAUGGUAUUUGACGGUACCGCUAAAGGAAGCACCGGCUAACUCCGUGCCAGCAGCCGCGGUAAUACGGGGGGUGCAAGCGUUGUUCGGAAUUAUUGGGCGUAAAGAGCGUGUAGGCGGCUGAAUAAGUCAGAUGUGAAAUCCCUGGGCUUAACUCAGGAAGUGCAUUUGAAACUAUUCAGCUUGAGUAGGGGAGAGGAAAGUGGAAUUCCUGGUGUAGAGGUGAAAUUCGUAGAUAUCAGGAGGAACACCGGUGGCGAAGGCGACUUUCUGGCCCUAUACUGACGCUGAGACGCGAGAGCGUGGGUAGCAAACA